AGUUCACUAUUUGUUUAAAUGUUAUAAUUGACGCAUUUCUUUUGGCAUUAGGCUGACAUUGCCAUACCCGUACGAAAAUUAACCAUGUUUUUGUGGUAAAAGUGUAGUAACCACGGUUUGUGUGUAUCGAUUAUUUGCAAAAUGGUUUUACUAAACCAAACAUGGUUUAACUUUUUUUCAAAUCCAUGGUUGUUUCUUAACUGUAGUAAAACAAUGUUUAAUUUUCGCAAGGGAAGUCUAACGUUUCGUGUUAGAGAAUUAAAGUCCCAUUAAGAAGCUAACGUUAACCUAGUUUAAGUUCCCUGCUGAAAAAAACAGCAAGACCAGCAUAUGUUGUGUUUUGGUGCUGAUUUGCUAGUGAACACCAGCUAAACCAGCAUCAAACCAGCAUUAGCACCAGCAUCCCAUGCUGGUCAUACCAGCAUAUGUUGUGUUUUGGUGCUGGUAUGCUGGUGACCACCAGCUAAACCAGCAUAGACCAGCAUAAUUCCCAUGCUGGUUUGAUGCUGUUUUUUUCAGCAGGGUUAUCAACAUUAGGGUAACUUAAAGUGGUCAUUGCUUUAUUGUGUGAGCUUAAUAUAGUCUAAAGUUUUAAUAUUUGUCUUAUAAUAUUUGUAAGAAAAUAGGAAUCCCCACUAUUGGGGUACACUAUUUAAGCCUUAUAUUAGAGCUAAUUUACAUUACAUAAUAAACAUUUUCUGUUCUCCCUGCAGAUCCUGUCAAUCGAAUCACCUGUUACAACUUAGAUUUAACGUUGCUUAUUUUAUAAACCCAAAGGCACUUUUAAGAGCCAUUGUUUACUACACAAAGCCAUAGUUCACUGACAAGCUGGGCCAUAUCGCAUACAUAUCGCAGGCGAUAAUUAAUGCGAAAUUGCCCCGGUUGUCAGGUAACUAUGGCUUUGUGUAGUAAAUGCUGCUCCAUCUCAAAGCAGGUGAUGUUGGUGUACUACUAAUCAAAGAACCGGCUUUACUGACGAGAUGCGCAUGACAAUCACGUGCGAUUUAUCGUGCAGCCCUAGUAAGUAGAAUUUCUUACAUAUUCUUGUAUAUCUCUUUUAAUAUAUUGUUUUUAUUUUAGUGGCAAUUCUCUUCAGUAAACACAUUUUCACUUUAACACAUCACAGUCCUAAAUUAUCUACCACAACAAAAUAUAAGUGACACUUGGGAAUUCUCUGAAUGACAAUUAUCAAAUAGACUGCAUUCAUACUACUAUUGUAGAUUCUGUAGUUCAUCCAAAGCAACCCAUUUAAUGAUUAACGUUUGGCCUUUAUUUUGAAUAAAUCUAUACAGUAGAUUGUCACUGUCCAAUUGCACAAUAGUUACCAUAGUACCAGCCAAACCUACUAAUGUUACAGAAAGUUCUAUUGUAACCUUAUGAUGUGAUUUAUGUUUUUGCUGUUUUCUUUUAAUGUAUUUCUCUUUCCUGUUUUCACAUACUUGGUUAUACAAAAGCUAAACUCACCAUGAAGUAAAAAAUAUCCUGAAUGACAUUAACCAAUAUUCCAUUCAGUAAAUACACAAUGUUGUCAUUGCAGCUUGUAAAACUCCAUGCUAUUGGAUACAAGCCAGUUCGGGUUUGUGAAAAGGAGACCAAGAAGCAAAAUAUUAAGUGUGAGAGAUUAUCUCCUCGUUGCACACUAUGCGCCUAUGCACAGGACUACCUUCAGAAGAUCGGUUCCUUUUAUGAAUACCUUUUGUGAAGGUUGGACCCAGGAUUCCAAUGGCAUUAUGAUCAGCUGGUUACACUGCACCUCACACCCUGUGACCCACUGGAGAAUCCAAACAACUGGAAGAGAUGACAAACAUGGUGGAGAAGGCGACCACUACAGAGGGACAGGUGGAGGCAGUGAACACUAUGGAAGGGCAGCUGGAGCAGGCGAGCACUACGAAGGGCCAAGGUGUCUACACAUGGUCAGCCACAGUCACAAAUCUUGCACUCUGUCGCAAAAAGAAAAAGCCAGGUGGACCAAAGCUUAUGCCUGAUAAGAAAAAGCUUAAAAGGAGUAAGUGUACGUAAACAUUGAUGCUUUUAUCAGUGUGUUGACAUUGCUAUUUUACCCCUGGUUAUUUGUUAUAGUUCUAUUGCUUAUUUCUCUAACUACUUACAACAGUCACAAAGGUUAGACAGUCAUAAAAGAAAUGCAUAGUGUAGACCAUAUGCAGAGUCUAAUAUAGGAUUCAAAUACUUCCUUGUGGGUAAUAAAUAACAUUGACAUCAUAAUUGUUAUGUAGAUACUUUCUGUGUUUAGUCUUUUUGAAUUGCAGGCUAAGAAGGAACAGAAAAAUCCAUGAUCAGAUGCUGUAAAUAUCAACAGUGACCCACUGUGUUACUUAAACUUAAUGCCUAUAGCCAAACAUAAUCUAAACAUCAUGCUAAAAAUGAAAUUCAUGUGUUUGCUUUUUUGUUUUGUUGUUUCCUUAAUAGAGCAAAGCAGACAUUUUGGUGGACUGGGAGCCCUGUCCAGUAUGUGAUGAGAUUUGGACCCAUCCCUGGCAGCCAAAGGAUUCUCUCCAAAUUAAUUAAAAUAAUUAAAUAAAAAUUGUGUUACACUAAAAUUCCAUUUUGGUUUCUGACUAUUUAUUAAAUUUUUCUGUGCUGCAUUUGAAGUCGUAUUGUGCUUCUGUAGUGGUAAAAGGUGGAAAUGUUCAAGAAAUUCAAGAAAUGUGAUGCAUGGAGUUUCUUUAUUCUUUACGCCAUUCCAGCAUCUAUGGCUAUUUUCAUGGUGAGAGGGACAAUUUGACAUUUCCAAUUUGCCUAACUAGCAUGUUUUGGGCCUUUGGGAGGAAACCGGAGUAAAUUCAUGCUGACACAGGGAGAACAUGUAAACUCCACACAGAAAGGCCACCUCACCUGAGCACUGCAUAGUUUAGCUCCAACCCUAAUCAAACUUAACCACCUGUGAUUGUCUAGUGAUCAUGAAGACCUUGAUAAGCUUGCUCAGGUGUGUUUGAUCAGGGUUGGAGCUAAAAUCUGCAGUGCUCUGGCCCUCCUGGUUCUUCAUCAGUCAACAUGUCAAAUGUUCUUUAAUGUUUUGGGGAAUUAAUAUUAAGUAGUGUUUAGUAAAUUUAACCCUGCAGUAAACCCAGCAAUAUGUAACACUGCUGAUGCUUCAACUGCUGGAAGGGAUGAGGGAUUAUUAGUUAACUUGAUGGGGCGGUUUCCCGGGCAGGGAUUAGACUAGUCCUAGACUAAAACAUUUUUAAGAGCUGUCCAAACUGAAAACAACUUGCACUGACAUAUCUUAAAAUACAUCAGGGCCCUUUGUUUUGCUCCAAAAUGCACACAGGUAAUGUUUUUAGUUAGGUAUGUUUGUUCAAACUAGUUAUAUUUCCUAAUUAAACUAAGGCCUAGUCCUGGAUUAAGCUAAUCUCGGUCCGGGAAACCACCCCAAUGUCUGUUUUUGCCAGUGUUUAACUAUUUGAUAUGUGUGAAGGAUUUUGAGCAAUGAAAAAAACUUUCGUAUGUAUCAUGCAUUAAAAUAUAUGACCUUUGAUGCCUUUUGAUGAUUUAAAUAAAAUCUCCAUACAAUCUGAGCAUGUCUGUGUUUUACUCUCGACUAAUACUCUCUUCUUUUAACAUUACUGGUAAUUAACAUAGCGCCAUCUAAUGGUUGUAAAUGAAUAACACAAUAGGUCUAAAUAUAUUAAUACAAAAUAGCAUCUAUACAUACUGUAAAAUACAUUUUAAAAAG